rnacentral:lncRNA from 10 species
ACAAGUUUCUAAGUGCCUGUGCUGAAAACCUUAAGACCUUUGUUGGACCAACUGGGGAAGAAUUUCUUUCCUGCUCAGGCUGCUCAGCUGAUAGAGUGCUGGCCUGGAGCAGCUGAAAGACACUUUGCUGCUUUCUGGAGAAUGAAGCCACUGGGAAACCACAUAGGAGGGAAGAGAGAGACAGCUUCUCGAUGAUGUCAUCUGAACACCUGGAUCCUGCUGUGCCUGGACUUGCAGUCCCAUUGUCUACCAAUAUAGUUCAUUGAAUUCAACUUCAGCUGGAUGUCAUUCAUCUGCUUCCAGAACUUGUGUCUAAUGCAGAGCUGAAUGCAUACUCUCAGAGUUGGAAGUGGAUGCAAUCCACAAAUCUAGCACCCAAAUUUCUUUUUUCUGUUCUUUUUUUUUUUUAAUUUGAGAUGGAGUCUUGCUCUGUCACCCAGGCUGAAGUGUAGUGGCGCAAUCUCAGCUCACUGCAACCUCUGCCUCCCAGAUUCAAGCGAUCCUUCUGCCUCAGCCUCCCGAGUAGCUGGAAUUACAGGCGUGUGCCACCACGGCUGGCCUAAUUUUGGUAUUUUUAGUAGAGAUGGGGUUUCACCAUGUUGGCCAGGCUGAUAUCGAACUCCUGGCCUCAAGUGAUCUACCCCCCUUGGCCUCCCAAAGUGCUGGGAUUACAGGUGUGAACCACCAUGCCCGGCCUCAAAUUGCUUUUACAGAGGCAAGUGGCCACCGAGUCUGUGAUUGGGAUCCUCCUGUGGAGACCUGUGGAGACUCGUGGCUCACUACCUUUGAAGGCAGUGUUAGGGUAAUCUCUCCACAUUUCCCUGCUGAAAGCUCUGAGUGUUAGUAAAUUCCUUCUCAUAUUAGCUAAAAUGUAUUUUCCUGUGCCUUUUAUUCACUGAUGGGGAAUACAAGCAUUCUUUUUGAGGGUGGCCAAUGCUAGUAAUUCCCUCCAUACAGUCAGUGAUGGAUAGAGUUAACCCAUGGUUGCUGCAUGUAGUACUGUCACUUGCUGUACCACCAGGACUCAAGUUGAUGCUCAACGCAACAUUCUUUUGCAGGGCCCUUGUCCUCAGUUUCCCUUCUUUUGGGGUGGGCUGAGAGAGACAGCUUAUUCAGCAUGAAGCUGUAGUAUCUACAGUUUAGCAAAUGUCUGCGGAGCCUUUAAAGCAGUUUUUAUCAUAAUAAAAAUAUUUUAACUUAUAACCCCAGAAAGAGAUAGGCAUGGGAGUCUUUAUACAGCACAGAAAUCCAGAUGAGCAUAAUUUGAAAGUCAUUUGAAUUGUAAUGAGUAUUUUUAAUGUAAACAGGCAGGAGGAAAAACUUGCUGGGUUCUCUUGUAGCACAGACACCCAGAUAUAUGUCUUUUGAUAGUGAUAUUAAAGUGUCAAGGGUGCAUAGGAGGCUGCAGAUGUCAGCGGCAUGAAUGGGCAAGGCAAUUUCUGUGGUUGCAGGCUGGAGGUUCCAGCAGGAAUAGAAAGGCAAUCUCUGUGCUAGAUGGCCCAGGGUCACUGCAAGUCUAGCUCCUAAAUGAAAAUCAGGGACAAGAUGUGGCCUGUAACCACAGUCACUGCUCUUCGUAAGGCUGGUGGAAAGGUGAACUGGAAAGGUUUUUAGGGUUAGGGAGAUACAGGAACUCCCAAACAUCAGGCACCUGAUAGCACUCUCCACCUAACAUCUGCAUUUAUAUUGACCUAAUGCAUCUGUUCAAUUUGUCUCAUUCUUUGUGCUCACACACAUUUAUUUGAAACAAAACUUUCCAUCAUUACUAUAGGUGAAAAUCCUUGAUCACUUGCCUUGAAUACAAGAAACCAUUAUUAAAUGCAAGCUAGAUAAUUUUGCUUGUCUUACAGCCAUGAGCCUUAAGUCUGUUCCCCCCACCCCCCCCCCCCCCCGCCUUUUUUUUUUGUUAAAAAGAUGAGCAAAAUGUGAGAAUGAUGCAAAAGAGAUCCUGGUACCAAAAGAAGCCUUCUAACUGGAUAUCAUCAGAGGGACAGAAAGAAUUAAAGUAUGGACAAAUUUCUCAAA